CGGGAACGUACCCUUUGGUUCGGAACAACCCAGGGAAACUUGGGCUAAUACCGGAUAAGUCCGUAAGGAGAAAGAUUUAUCGCCAAAGGAUCGGCCCGCGUCUGAUUAGCUAGUUGGUAGGGUAAUGGCCUACCAAGGCUACGAUCAGUAGCUGGUCUGAGAGGAUGAUCAGCCACAUUGGGACUGCGACACGGCCCAGACUCCUACGGGAGGCAG
rnacentral:rRNA from 1 species